GUGCUAUACAUGCAAGUCGAGCGCACUGGCCCAGCUGAUAUGACGUGCUUGCACUGAUUUGACGAUGGAUUACCAGUGAGCGGCGGACGGGUGAGUAACACGUGGGCAACCUGCCCUGGAGCGGGGGAUAACAUCUGGAAACAGGUGCUAAUACCGCAUGACUACUAAAACCACCUGGUUUUAGUAUAAAAGAAGGCUUCGGCUUUCACUCUAGGAUGGGCCCGCGGUGCAUUAGCUAGUUGGUAAGGUAACGGCUUACCAAGGCGAUGAUGCAUAGCCGAGUUGAGAGACUGAUCGGCCACAAUGGAACUGAGACACGGUCCAUACUCCUACGGGAGGCAGCAGUAGGGAAUCUUCCACAAUGGGCGCAAGCCUGAUGGAGCAACACCGCGUGAGUGAAGAAGGGUUUCGGCUCGUAAAGCUCUGUUGUUGAAGAAGAACGUGCGUGAGAGUAACUGUUCACGCAGUGACGGUAUUCAACCAGAAAGUCACGGCUAACUACGUGCCAGCAGCCGCGGUAAAAAAA
rnacentral:rRNA from 2 species